UGUUGACGUUCCUGCGCCAGUCACGCAUAAAAACCAUGCGUAGAUAAGAUGCGCAGUGCCAGAUUCUGCUUUCUUGUAAAUUUAAAGUGCAAUCGAGAAUUUAGACUAUUACUUAGCUUCGAAAAGUUCGACGGGACGUCGAAACCUGAAGGAGCGUGAUAUCACUACAUCGUGUAGCUAAGGAAAAUAUGAACAGAUCAGUUUGACUUUUUGUCGAGGCUCUUUUAAAAAGGUCACCUUUUGACAGGAACACGCUUAAACUUCCCGAACUCAACUGGGACGUGAUACUGCUACAGCUUUAAGGUA